rnacentral:rRNA from 1 species
UACGUAGGGGGCAAGCGUUGUCCGGAAUCAUUGGGCGUAAAGCGCGUGUAGGCGGCCCGGUAAGUCCGCUGUGAAAACCCAGGGCUCAACCCUGGGCUUGCAGUGGAUACGGGCAGACUAGAGGUAGGUAGGGGAGAAUGGAAUUCCCGGUGUAGCGGUGAAAUGCGCAGAUAUCGGGAGGAACACCGGUGGCGAAGGCGGUUCUCUGGGCCAUUACUGACGCUGAGGAGCGAAAGCGUGGGGAGCGAACAGG